rnacentral:tRNA from 1 species
GCCCGAUUAGCUCAGCUGGUUAGAGCGUCGUACUAAUAUUCCAUUGCGAAUACUCAGUAAUGCGAAGGUCAACAGUUCAAUCCUGUUAUUGGGCA